UGGGGAAUAUUGCACAAUGGGCGCAAGCCUGAUGCAGCGACGCCGCGUGAGGGAUGGAGGCCUUCGGGUUGUAAACCUCUUUCGCCAGUGAAGCAGGCCAUCUUCCUUGUGGGGUGGAUGACGGUAGCUGGAUAAGAAGCGCCGGCUAACUACGUGCCAGCAGCCGCGGUAAUACGUAGGGCGCGCGCGUUGUCCGGAAUUAUUGGGCGUAAAGAGCUCGUAGGCGGCUGGUCGCGUCUGUCAUGAAAUCCCCUGGCAUAACUGGGGGCUUGCGGUGGGUACGGCUCAGCUUGAGUGCGGUAGGGGAGACUGGAAUUCCUGGUGUGGCGGUGGAAUGCGCAGAAAUCAAGAGGAACACCGGUGGCGAGGACGGGUCUCUGAACAGAAACUGACACAGAGAAGCGACAGCGUGGGGAGCGAACAGG
rnacentral:rRNA from 1 species